rnacentral:rRNA from 1 species
GUGGCAAGCGUUGUCCGGAUUUAUUGGGCGUAAAGGGCGCGUAGGUGGGUGCUUAAGUCAGGUGUGAAAACUCUGGGCUCAACCUGGAGACUGCACUUGAAACUGGGUAUCUUGAGGGCAGGAGAGGAAAGUGGAAUUCCUAGUGUAGCGGUGAAAUGCGUAGAUAUUAGGAGGAACACCAGUGGCGAAGGCGACUUUCUGGACUGUACCUGACGCUGAGGCGCGAAAGCGUGGGUAGCGAAC